GAAGGUAUAGCUCAGAGGUAGAAUGCAUGUUUAGCAUACACGAUGUCCUAGGUUCACCCCUAGUAUCUCCA
rnacentral:tRNA from 1 species